AACGCUGGCGGCGUGCCUAAUACAUGCAAGUCGAGCGAACGGACGAGCAGCUUGCUUCUCUGAUGUUAGCGGCGGACGGGUGAGUAACACGUGGAUAACCUACCUAUAAGACUGGGAUAACUUCGGGAAACCGGAGCUAAUACCGGAUAAUAUUUUGAACCGCAUGGUUCAAAAGUGAAAGACGGUCUUGCUGUCACUUAUAGAUGGAUCCGCGCUGCAUUAGCUAGUUGGUAAGGUAACGGCUUACCAAGGCAACGAUGCAUAGCCGACCUGAGAGGGUGAUCGGCCACACUGGAACUGAGACACGGUCCAGACUCCUACGGGAGGCAGCAGUAGGGAAUCUUCCGCAAUGGGCGAAAGCCUGACGGAGCAACGCCGCGUGAGUGAUGAAGGUCUUCGGAUCGUAAAACUCUGUUAUUAGGGAAGAACAUAUGUGUAAGUAACUGUGCACAUCUUGACGGUACCUAAUCAGAAAGCCACGGCUAACUACGUG
rnacentral:rRNA from 1 species